GCAGGCUUGAGAAGUCCCAGUUAUGCUUGGCAUGCCCCAGAGUGGCUGGGGAUCUUGAAAAGCUGGUCAGGGGAGUGAGAGAAUGAGGCUUUAAAAAAUGUUAUUGGGCACUAGGGACAGGCCAGGAAGGGGUUUAGAGUGUGUUGUCGUGGUUCAGCAACUGGAUCUGACUGAUGAUCAAGCUGUGAUUCGGGCCUCCAAGCCAGAGAAAACACACAAGAGUGCUGUAAAAGUUGCAGGUCACCGAGGUUACAUACUCCAACUAUGUGAAGGCUCUAUGAAUAUGAAGACUUCUUCCUUUUAGCUGCUUUGGUAGCGGAAUAGCACGUGGUUAUAAAUUACAAUUUUCUUUUUCAAACGUCUAGAAAGACAACAAAAAUUUGAAACACUGAUUCAAAUAGGUCCAAUUUCAAACUGUUUAACAUCGGAACUCUAGGGACUGUAUUUUAUUGGUGGAAGAUGGCACUCCAAUGAUGUCAGUGUGGCUCACAAACUUCAGCAUCUCCAGAUGUACCCAUAAACUGUAAACAUCCUCUUUAUUCUGUUUUCCCAUCAGCACUGAGCAGGUUAAAGAAGAAUAUUUGCCUUGGUAAGCAGUCAAAAAUUUUCCAGUCCAUGAAAAGUGUUAGUAAACAU
rnacentral:lncRNA from 1 species